rnacentral:rRNA from 1 species
GACGAACGCUGGCGGCGUGCUUAACACAUGCAAGUCGAACGGAAAGGCCCUGCUUUUGUGGGGUGCUCGAGUGGCGAACGGGUGAGUAACACGUGAGUAACCUGCCCUUGACUUUGGGAUAACUUCAGGAAACUGGGGCUAAUACCGGAUAGGAGCUCCUGCUGCAUGGUGGGGGUUGGAAAGUUUCGGCGGUUGGGGAUGGACUUGCGGCUUAUCAGCUUGUUGGUGGGGUAGUGGCUUACCAAGGCUUUGACGGGUAGCCGGCCUGAGAGGGUGACCGGCCACAUUGGGACUGAGAUACGGCCCAGACUCCUACGGGAGGCAGCAGUGGGGAAUAUUGCACAAUGGGCGGAAACCUGAUGCAGCAACGCCGCGUGCGGGAUGACGGCCUUCGGGUUGUAAACCGCUUUCGCCUGUGACGAAGCGUGAGUGACGGUAAUGGGUAAAGAAGCACCGGCUAACUACGUGCCAGCAGCCGCGGUGAUACGUAGGGUGCGAGCGUUGUCCGGAUUUAUUGGGCGUAAAGGGCUCGUAGGUGGUUGAUCGCGUCGGAAGUGUAAUCUUGGGGCUUAACCCUGAGCGUGCUUUCGAUACGGGUUGACUUGAGGAAGGUAGGGGAGAAUGGAAUUCCUGGUGGAGCGGUGGAAUGCGCAGAUAUCAGGAGGAACACCAGUGGCGAAGGCGGUUCUCUGGGCCUUUCCUGACGCUGAGGAGCGAAAGCGUGGGGAGCGAACAGGCUUAGAUACCCUGGUAGUCCACGCUGUAAACGGUGGGUACUAGGUGUGGGGUCCAUUCCACGGGUUCCGUGCCGUAGCUAACGCUUUAAGUACCCCGCCUGGGGAGUACGGCCGCAAGGCUAAAACUCAAAGGAAUUGACGGGGCCCCGCACAAGCGGCGGAGCAUGCGGAUUAAUUCGAUGCAACGCGUAGAACCUUACCUGGGUUUGACAUGGAUCGGGAGUGCUCAGAGAUGGGUGUGCCUCUUUUGGGGUCGGUUCACAGGUGGUGCAUGGCUGUCGUCAGCUCGUGUCGUGAGAUGUUGGGUUAAGUCCCGCAACGAGCGCAACCCUUGUUCACUGUUGCCAGCACGUUAUGGUGGGGACUCAGUGGAGACCGCCGGGGUCAACUCGGAGGAAGGUGGGGAUGACGUCAAGUCAUCAUGCCCCUUAUGUCCAGGGCUUCACGCAUGCUACAAUGGCUGGUACAGAGAGUGGCGAGCCUGUGAGGGUGAGCGAAUCUCGGAAAGCCGGUCUCAGUUCGGAUUGGGGUCUGCAACUCGACCUCAUGAAGUCGGAGUCGCUAGUAAUCGCAGAUCAGCAACGCUGCGGUGAAUACGUUCCCGGGGCU